rnacentral:rRNA from 1 species
UGGGGAAUAUUGGACAAUGGGCGCAAGCCUGAUCCAGCAAUGCCGCGUGUGUGAAGAAGGCCUGCGGGUUGUAAAGCACUUUCAGUGGGGAGAAAGGAAUUUGCAUUAAUACUGCAGAGGACAGAUGUUACCCACAGAAGAAGCACCGGCUAACUCUGUGCCAGCAGCCGCGGUAAUACAGAGGGUGCGAGCGUUAAUCGGAAUUACUGGGCGUAAAGGGUGCGUAGGUGGUUAGAUUAGUUAGGUGUGAAAUUCCCGAGCUUAACUUGGGGACUGCGCCUGAUACUGUUUGACUAGAGUACUGUAGAGGGAAGUGGAAUUUCCGGUGUAGCGGUGAAAUGCGUAGAUAUCGGAAGGAACAUCAGUGGCGAAGGCGACUUCCUGGACAGAUACUGACACUGAGGCACGAAAGCGUGGGGAGCAAACAGG